CAGUCGCCGCGGUAAUACGGAGGGAGCUAGCGUUGUUCGGAAUUACUGGGCGUAAAGCGCACGUAGGCGGCUAUUCAAGUCAGGGGUGAAAGCCCGGGGCUCAACCCCGGAACUGCCUUUAAGACUGCAUCGCUUGAAUCCAGGAGAGGUGAGUGGAAUUCCGAGUGUAGAGGUGAAAUUCGUAGAUAUUCGGAAGAACACCAGUGGCGAAGGCGGCUCACUGGACUGGUAUUGACGCUGAGGCACGAAAGCGUGGGGAGCAAACAGGAUUAGAUACCCGCGUAGUCCCUGUCUCUUAUAC
rnacentral:rRNA from 1 species